rnacentral:rRNA from 1 species
GAAUGCUGACAUAAGUAACGAUAAAGCGGGUGAAAAGCCCGCUCGCCGGAAGACCAAGGGUUCCUGUCCAACGUUAAUCGGGGCAGGGUGAGUCGACCCCUAAGGCGAGGCCGAAAGGCGUAGUCGAUGGGAAACAGGUUAAUAUUCCUGUACUUGGUGUUACUGCGAAGGGGGGACGGAGAAGGCUAUGUUAGCCGGGCGACGGUUGUCCCGGUUUAAGCAUGUAGGCUGGUUGUCCAGGCAAAUCCGGAUAAUCAAGGCUGAGGUGUGAUGACGAGGCACUACGGUGCUGAAGUAACAAAUGCCCUGCUUCCAGGAAAAGCCUCUAAGCAUCAGGUAACAU